UCUCCAUCUUGCAGAAAACAGUAACAUACUGUGAAAGAAAAGUGCAGGAAAACUGUAAACUCCAGCCCAUCAGUCACAGGAUAAUCUGCUCAGCUCACUGCAUAGAUACCUGGAGAUGCCUGACGUCCUCCACAGUGUCCACAGAGGGCGCAAUCGAAACAACUGAUACCCGCCAGGAGGAUUGGAGGAAUGGUUUGGCUGAGGAAGACUGAUGUGAUUUUACAGCUAACACCCACCCCACAGUAACAGCGACCAGUCAGACCAUCUCUACACAGCAG